GACGAACGCUGGCGGCGUGCUUAACACAUGCAAGUCGAACGGAAAGGCCCUGCUUUUGUGGGGUGCUCGAGUGGCGAACGGGUGAGUAACACGUGAGUAACCUGCCCUUGACUUUGGGAUAACUUCAGGAAACUGGGGCUAAUACCGGAUAGGAGCUCCUGCUGCAUGGUGGGGGUUGGAAAGUUUCGGCGGUUGGGGAUGGACUCGCGGCUUAUCAGCUUGUUGGUGGGGUAGUGGCUUACCAAGGCUUUGACGGGUAGCCGGCCUGAGAGGGUGACCGGCCACAUUGGGACUGAGGUACGGCCCAGACUCCUACGGGAGGCAGCAGUGGGGAAUAUUGCACAAUGGGCGGAAGCCUGAUGCAGCAACGCCGCGUGCGGGAUGACGGGCUUCGGGUUGUAAACCGCUUUCGCCUGUGACGAAGCGUGAGUGACGGUAAUGGGUAAAGAAGCACCGGCUAACUACGUG
rnacentral:rRNA from 1 species